AUUGAACGCUGGCGGCAGGCCUAACACAUGCAAGUCGAACGGGUGGCGGACGUGUGAGUAAUGUCUGGGAAACUGCCUGAUGGAUGGGGACAACUACUGGGAACGGUAGCUACUACCGCCUACCUGCAGAUGUGCCGAGAUGGGAUUAGCUUGUUGGUGGGGUAACGGCUGACCAAGGCGACGAUCCCUAGCUGGUCUGAGAGGAUGACCAGCCACACUGGAACUGAGACACGGUCCAGACUCCUACGGGAGGCAGCAGUGGGGAAUAUUGGACAAUGGGCGAAAGCCUGAUGCAGCCAUGCCGCGUGUAUGAAGAAGGCCUUCGGGUUGUAAAGUACUUUAAGCGGGGAGGCGUUACCCGCAGAAGAAGCACCGGCUAACUCCGUGCCAGCAGCCGCGGUAAUUC
rnacentral:rRNA from 1 species